AAAAUAGGGUUGAGAGGCUGAACCUGCAGCAGCAUUAACAAACAAGAGAUGGAUCAGAUGGAAAUAUCUUUGCAUGAUUGCAAGAUGAUAUUUGGGAUUAAUGGCGAUGGUAUUAGUAAUGAGAUAAAAAAAAUUUUUUAAAAAAAAGGCCAAAUGAUAGAGCUCCGUUCAUUGUUCUUGCUAAUGCUACUGCAUAAAUUGAGAAAUUUGCAAAAUGUGCUCCAUAUCACAAAUUAACACAAGUUGGGAAGAUAUAUCAUAACAAGAUAUUAAUUUAGGAACUAACCAUAAAACAGUUAUAACUUGU
rnacentral:misc_RNA from 1 species